UGGGCUUAAGGUUUGAGAUUCUAUUGAACAUGAAGUAGUUUGGUGCCUUUUAUUAUCAAUGUAUCCCUCCUACUGUAUGAUUUUGUACUUGAUGUUUCCAUCCUAAAACCUCAAAAACAAAGAAAUCCUAUGAUGGAUGAUUCUCCUAUUUUGUCUUGUCACAGAUAUAUGUGGGGACAGACUCCUGAAGUAAUCAGCUUGACUAUAGUUGUAUUGUCACUUAGUUGGCAUUGUGUAGUUAUAGUUGACCUUAUUUAGUUUUUAAAAGAUAUUUUUCAGCAUUUGCUCUUUGACUAUCUGUCUAGUGAGUCUAUUAAUGUUUUUGAUACUGAUUUUAUGUUGUGGUGCCUGUGAAUAUAUAUUUGGUGAAUAAAUUCAUUUUGCUUAUUUGAUCUUGCGAAGUAUUUUCUCACCGAACAUGAGCAAGAGGCAAAAAAAUGCAUGAUAAACUCUCUUCCAUUGAUGCUGAACCCUUUUCAGUUUGUGAUGCUUUGGAAUCACUACUGUCUAUCUGCUUAUAGUCUUCACAUCCUACUUCUUUAGUUUGGUUUCAGUGAUUGUUCACAUUUAAUUGAAAUUAUUAAGUUUUUCCUCUUUAUUGACAAAGUAGUGUGUCAAGAUAUGAUGUGAAAAUUUCUUUCCUCACGCAGUGUUUGCUCAUACUAAGACCUGUGUAAGAGGUAUGCUUUUUCUUUUGAGUUGACAAAAUCAUCACAGUACUCAUGGUAACUGGAUAUUUACCUGCUGUAAAUUGCGUGUGAGAAUAGCACUCUGUGAUAGUUUGUGCUUGUAAACACAUCGUAUGUCCCCGAUGUCCCAAAACUGUCAGUAGUUCUUCGGGAGACACAGCGAGAACGAUAACAUGUCUUUGUUUUCCCCUGAACAUUGAGGAGACGGGGUUGGUGGAUAUUUCUUAAAUAUGCACAGAAAAGAUCUAUCUUGCUGUCAUACCUGAAGCUCACUCAUGGUGUCAGUGUGUACUAGCUAACGAGAGAACACAGUCAUUCUCCACCCUUUUGUCUCAACGACAGUAUAUCCUGUCUGUGCUUUUGUAGUGAGCUGGUUCGUAUUUGAGUACUCUAAAAAGGUUUUCACCGCAGAAUAACUGAUCUAGUGUGAGGUAAAUGUGAUCUGUAUUUAAGGUUUUUUGCCCGUCUGUUGGAUUUUUAUUGACUCUAACAAUGGGAUUUAUUGGAUUCAUGCUGCAUGGCGGCCUAGCUGUUAUUUUUCUCGCCCUCCACCUCGUCUUUGGGGACGUGAGCUACUCCAUUCCGGAGGAGAUGAAACGUGGAUCUGUAAUUGGAAAUAUUGCGAAGGAUCUGGGACUGGAAUCGGGAAGACUGUCGGCUCGCAAUGCCCGCGUUGAUACUGAGGACAACAGUGUGAAAUACUGCAGCGUAAAUCUGAACACCGGAGGAUUGAUGGUACAAGAAAGGAUCGACAGAGAGGGUCUUUGUGCGAAAAGAGCAUCAUGUGUUUUGAAACAGGAGCUCGUCCUGGAAAAUCCUUUAGAGGUGCACCGAAUAAAUAUCCGCGUUCAAGAUAUCAACGACAAUUCACCUCAGUUUGCAGAAGAGAUGCUAAGAUUUGAUAUUCAUGAAUCCGCUGUUAAGGGUGCACGUUUUCUUCUUGGAGAGGCACACGAUGGAGACAUUGGGGAAAAUGGUGUUCAGGGUUAUUCUCUUCAGCAGAAUGAUCAUUUUAAAUUAAAUGUUAACACAAAAGGAGGUGGGCGAAAAUAUGGUGAACUGGUUUUAGAUAAAGAAUUAGACAGAGAGGUCACACAGGAGCUCAAGUUGUUACUAACUGCAUUUGAUGGAGGCUCUCCUCGUAGAUCCGGUACAGUAGUCAUUCACGUCACUGUACUGGAUGCUAAUGAUAAUGUACCAGUGUUCAGUCAGGCCGUUUAUAAAGCCAGUCUGCCUGAAAACUCUCCUGUAGAUACACUGGUGAUCACAGUGAGUGCUACUGAUGCAGACGAGGGUUUAAAUAGUGAAAUCACAUAUGGAUUUGAUCAUGUUUCAGAUGACAACAACAUAUUUACUUUAGACUCUAAAUCCGGAGAAGUGACAGUAGCUGGUAACAUCGAUUAUGAAAAAGAAUCGUCAUAUGAAAUGCAGAUAAGUGCGAAAGAUGGUCUAGGAUUGAUUUCAUAUGCAACCCUAUUGAUUGAUGUCAUGGACAUAAACGAUAACGCUCCAGUGAUAUACGUGAAAUCACUGACUAAUCCCAUACCUGAGAACGUGUCACCUGGUACAGAGGUGGGCAUCAUUAACGUGCAGGACAGAGACUCUGAUAGUAACAGACAGGUCCGCUGCUCCAUUCAGCAAAAUGUCCCUUUUAAAUUGGUUCCUUCAAUUAAAAACUAUUAUUCUCUGGUGAGCACAGGACAACUGGACCGUGAACUAGUGUCUGAUUACAACAUUACAAUCAGUGCCACUGACGAGGGCUCUCCACCUCUGUCGUCGUCUAAAACUGUUCAGUUAUCUGUAGCAGACAUCAACGACAACCCACCUGUGUUUGAGGAGCAGUCGUACAGCGCAUAUGUGAGUGAGAAUAACAAAGCUGGCUCCACUUUAUGUUCCGUUAGUGCUCGAGACCCCGACUGGAGACAGAACGGUACAGUGAUUUAUUCUCUGUUAGGCGGUGAGGUGAACGGUGCCCCGGUGUCCUCCUAUGUGUCAGUGAACGGAGACACGGGGGUGAUCCACGCUGUGAGGUCGUUUGAUUAUGAACAGUUCCGGAGCUUCAAAGUUCAGGUGAUGGCCAGAGACAACGGUUCUCCUCCUCUCAGCAGCAACGUGACCGUGAGUGUGUUCAUAUCCGAUGUGAAUGACAACUCUCCUCAGAUCCUGUACCCCGGGCCGGAGGGCAAGUCGUUCAUGACCGAGCUGGUCCCCAAAGCUGCACACGGAGGCUCUCUGGUGUCCAAAGUGAUAGCGGUGGACGCGGACUCUGGACAGAACGCCUGGCUGUCGUAUCAAAUCGUGAAAUCCACGGAUCCGGGACUUUUCACUAUUGGUGUCCACAGUGGAGAGAUCAGGACCCAGCGGGACAUUUCUGAAUCUGACAGCAUGAAACAGAACCUUGUAGUGUCAGUGAAAGAUAACGGGCAGCCCUCUCUGUCUGCCACCUGUUCCAUGUAUUUACUGAUUUCUGAUAACUUGGCUGAGGUGCCAGAACUGAAGGACAUUUCUUAUGAUGAGAAGAACUCCAAACUGACCUCUUAUCUGAUCAUCGCGCUGGUGUGUGUGUCAACGUUUUUUCUGACCUUCAUCAUCAUCAUCCUUGGUGUGAGGUUUUGUCGCAGGAGAAAGCCCAGACUGUUGUUUGACGGAGCAGUGGCCAUCCCCAGCGCUUAUCUCCCUCCUAAUUACGCAGAUGUUGACGGCACAGGAACUUUACGCAGCGCUUACAAUUAUGACGCCUACCUGACAACAGGGUCUCGAACCAGUGACUUUAAGUUUGUGUCAUCUUACAAUGACAACACACUGCCAGCUGACCAGACUCUGCGGAAAAGUCCAUCAGACUUUGCUGAAGUGUUUGGAGACUGUGACGACUCUCCUGAG
rnacentral:lncRNA from 1 species